GGGAGAGGUCUUAACACUGAUAACUGCUAACUAUUCAGCCCCACGGUUAAAUUCCGUGGCUCACUCA
rnacentral:tRNA from 1 species